rnacentral:misc_RNA from 1 species
GAUGAAGAACGUAGUGAAAUGCGAUAAGUAGUGUGAAUUGCAGAAUUCAGUGAAUCAUCGAAUCUUUGAACGCACAUUGCGCCCCUUGGUAUUCCGAGGGGCAUGCCUGUUCGAGCGUCAUUAUCACCCUCAAGCUUUGCUUGGUGUUGGGGCCUGCUGUAAUAGGCAGCCCUUAAAAUCAGUGGCGGUGCUUCAAGGCUCUAAGCGUAGUAAUUCUCCUCGCUAUAGUGUCUAGUGGUUGCCAGCCAGAAUCCCUCAUUUUUCAUGAUUGACCUCGGAUCAGGUAGGGAUACCCGCUGAACUUAAGCAUAUCAAUAAGCGGAGGA